rnacentral:lncRNA from 1 species
GGUGAUGAACGCCCUGGAAGCCGCUGUCUCUCCCCAAUGACUCAGCUUUUGCUAAAGGGUCACUGGAACGUCUGGGCAGAGCCCAGAUGUGUGGAGGAACAGCCUGAAGGCUCAGCCCGUGGAGAAUAACAAGGACAACCCAAAAUUGCUCUUCAGUGUUAAACCUGCAAGGCAGUGAGACCUGGACAGCAACUGCUGGUGCCAGCCCACAGAUGAUGGGCGAAGGAGCCGUGUGCCUGUCUGGGCUGGGAGGAAGGGGCAGGGCACGGUGUCACCGCGCUUCAGUUGUGCUGUCAGGCUUCUGGUGUGGUUUUGUAGGGCUUCCUGAGAACCAGGGGACAUUCGUUGUUUUGCAAUUUUACAGAAACCCGCAAGUGCUGUAAAGACCUAAUAAACAGAUAGGUGGUGAGAAAGGUUAGAGAAGGGCGAAAAAUCGCAGCGCGGCCAUGACCGGAGCAUCCGCCAUCCUCCCAUUGGUCUGAACAGAGCCACACGGAGGCAUCGCCACACGCCGGUGCAGCAGAGGGUUGCAGAGCUGCAAGAAAAAUGAGUUUGGCUUUUACCAGCACCUGUGGCAAAUUCCUCGCAGAGUCCCUCCCACUGAGCCGCGUAUGCUUGUACACAACAGCGCAGACGGAGCGAGAGGAUGGAGGGGACAUUCAGUGGAAAUUAUUGCAGCAGCACCGUAGGAAAGAGCCAGGCUGAUCUGUAUGCCCAGAGAAGGAGACAGCUGAGGUCAAGAGGAGAUGCUCGGGUGGUUCAAGCAUCAGGACGGCAGACAAGGCAGGAAGGUGAUGCUUUUGGCUCUGGUAGAUGCAUGCAUUGGACUGGACAUCUAAUGCCUCUGUGCUUGGGUUUUGACACAGAUAAAAUGGAAAUCGCCAGGAGCAAGGUCUGUUGUGGGGCUGCUGUCCCUUGUGCUUGAUGGGCUCCAGCAGGAAGCGUUUUCCAUCAGAUUAAUCUUAGAGAUGAAAAAUUUAAUGUAAGAAGGAGUAUGAAAACAUUAAAAAUACAGAGUGGCAGUGAGUAGCUCUUCUUUUGCACUCUUCCCCAUGCCCGCGCGCCCCUAGGGAACACCCAUUAGUGGCUGUGCCAUUUUGCAGUAAUGCAUGCAAAGAUAUAAGGACAGCCUUCUCGUGUAAGUGUUCUUCUAAGAAGAAAGCAAGAAAGUUAUAAAAUCAAUGGUAAUAGGUGAUCUAUGAACCAAAUCAUCUUUCUUCCCCCAACCACAGCACCACACAGUGGGUUUUCACUUUCUCCCAAUGGCCUUGAAAACAUCCUCAGCCUGAGGAGCAGAUUGUUUUGAGCUAACUUAUCUGUACCUCAGCCUACAAGCCAGGCUGCAGCCCUCACAAGGGCAGAUGCAUCUCUAUAAUUACUGUUAUACCUCUUUCUUGAUUGAUGGGUAAGAAGCAUUAAAACACUCUCAUGUGUCUUACUCUAGAGUGUAUGAACCAGCUCUUGAAAGGGCAAUGACAUGAGAAAUAAACUCAUGCCUCUUACAAGGAUUAACUACA